rnacentral:misc_RNA from 1 species
GAUGAAGAACGCAGUGAAAUGCGAUAAGUAAUGCGAAUUGCAGAAUUUCCGUGAGUCAUCGAAUCUUUGAACGCACAUUGCGCCCCUUGGUAUUCCAUGGGGCAUGCCUGUUCGAGCGUCAUUUGUACCUUCAAGCUCUGCUUGGUGUUGGGUGUUUGUCUCGCCUCUGCGUGUAGACUCGCCUCAAAACAAUUGGCAGCCGGCGUAUUGAUUUCGGAGCGCAGUACAUCUCGCGCUUUGCACUCAUAACGACGACGUCCAAAAGUACAUUUUUACACUCUUGACCUCGGAUCAGGUAGGGAUACCCGCUGAACUUAAGCAUAUCAAUAAGCGGAGGA